UUUCCUGGGGUCACUGCAGAGGUGAGUUCAUUACGUUACGUCAAGGUUAGCGUUUUUCUACGCACAUGCGCAGGAUAAAUUGGGUUUCCGGUACCGAACAGUAAGUAAUACCACCUAAAUAGCCUGCUAUUUUUAUGUCCAAUGACUUAGUGUUAAGGAUAAUAUUAAUAUUAGUGUCAGUUGGCAGUGUGACGAAAAACAGGGGACGUAGAUAUGCGGCCAUAGAAAUGCGUCCUGAACCUGCAGCCUCUGCUAUUCGACUGACCGCUGCCACCCACCACGACAGGAACCUUAAACCCGGAGAAAUGUCUAUAACUUGUUUUUGGGCGACGUUUCAGUGCCACCAGCGGCUAUGGGUGAGCGCAUGGACGCAGUCCCCCACUACCAGGAAUUAUGCAGUCGAGAUUCCCCUGUUCACACUACAUGAGACUACAGGAGGAGUCAACAAUACAGCUCACCCUCUCUCAAAGCAAAUGUUGCAGAGACUAUUGAUAUCAUCUGCAUGUAUUUUAUGUGUUUGAUAAUGGCCAUUUCAGAUAUAAUCAGCUAUUUAUUUUGACACCUCUGAAGCCAUUCAAGCAUGCUGCUAAAAUUACACAAUGUCAAGUAUAUUUAUAAAGUAUAUUUGUAUACGCAAAUGUUACAUAGUUCAUGUCAUUUAUUCAUGUUACUGGACUGAUUUCUUUUUCAAUUAAAUAUAGCUUAUCAAAAGUAUGCUUGUGAGAAUGUUUUGUCUUUGCCUACAUGUCAUUCAUUUACAUUACUUGCUUUCUGUCUUUUGUGAAUUGUCUUCUGACAAGUACACUUAUAUUUCUGAGGCUGAGUAAAGCUCUUUUUAUGUUCCUACAUGCAAGUAACCUGGCAAUCUGUGUUCCCGUGUUUUGAUAAACAAAUAUACCCCAUUGUUUCAUUCAAUAACUGAUAUUCCACAACUCACUGUUAGUGUAACACUGACCACUUUAUUGAAUAAAUAAACACAAUUAAGAAUGAAGUCAAAAAUCCAAAACUGUAAUAGUACAUUAAAAAUAUAACUAUUUACAAUUUAGCCAAUGAGAUGCAAUUAUUUACAGAUGAAAGUCUUUCCUCCUGAUCACCCUAUUGAAAUAAAAAUAACAAAACACCACAGCACUAUAGAUUAGACAAUUUAAAAGGCCAAUGUAAUAAAUAUGAAGAUAUUUACAAUGCAGCUUUAUCAUAUUUACAGAUGUGUUUAUUUAUAUUCUAUUGCUCUAAGUUGUCAACAACAGAGUUGCUGUACGUUCAGAUGGUACUGCUGCGGCGUCUUGUCGUGACCCUCUGCUGCAUUCCAGACUUGGAGAACCCUGUUCCUCUGCUCUGGUUAGUGACAGUUGGUUCUGAGGCCAAUCUCCACCAGUACAGAGCAGAACAUUUCCAACUUCUGGACGCCGGGAAAUGGAUUUGGACUGCAGGCAUCCUCCUGUUAAAAAAAAUACCAUAUAAAUGUGAUAAGUUCAAAUGUUUUCAUUGUCUAGUAACCAGUAAAUUUUAUUUCAUUUUAGGAGAGACACAGAUACUCAUGAAAGCCGGAGGGUGAACAGUGGAGGUUUCAUUGCUGGUGAGUAUAAUGUGGGGCAGGAUGGCAUCCAGCACACCAUCAUGGGGCUCCUCGUCGCUCUGAUACGCCUCAUCUGUUUCUGGAUCAGGCUGGCCAGGCUGAAUCACCUCCUCCUCUGGAUCAGGUCCAUCAUUGACGAUUUCCUGAAGGAUACAGAUUCACCUGUGCUCUGGCUGAACAGGUACUCCAGUCCAAGCAGCUUGUCAGAAGGGACAUCAGCAAGGGCCUGGAAAUUCUCCUCGACAGUCUCUCCAAACAGCUGCUGACAGCGGGUGUUGAGGCAGUCGAUCAGCGGCGCCGAGUAGGUCCUGAGGUGCUGUCCUUUGCCACUAAACAUGGCAUCUGAACUCCUGUCUGGGUUCCACCGUGCAAUGCCACUUAUCAGGUGUUUUGAAGAGGCUCACUCCACUCUCGUCAAGCCCAGCCGGACCUUUCAGCUACUCAAUGGCCAGGUGGAUGAGCUGGAAUGUUUC